UACAGAGGGUGCGAGCGUUACUCGGAAUUACUGGGCGUAAAGCGCGCGUAGGCGGCUCUGCAAGUCGGAUGUGAAAUCCCCAGGCUUAACCUGGGAACUGCUUCCGAGACUGCAUCGCUAGAGUAUGGGAGAGGGAAGUGGAAUUUCAGGUGUAGCGGUGAAAUGCGUAGAUAUCUGAAGGAACAUCAGUGGCGAAGGCGAAUCCCUGGAAAAUACCUGACACUGAGGCACGAAAGCUAGGGGAGCAAACAGG
rnacentral:rRNA from 1 species